GCUGUCAGGGCCCGUCCCCAGCGCUGCGGGACGGCGCAGGGGGUGUAGCGUGGGCCCUUCGGUCACACACCCCUUACCGCUGCCCGCCGCCGAGGGUGCCGGGCCCGCCGAGGCGGGCUCCUCCCGCCGCUCCCCGCUCCCGCCGAGGCGCCGGGCCCGCCCGCCGGCGCAUGCGGCCCGGGAAGGCGGGGGAAUGGCCGGACAUGGCGCUGGCGGCUCCCGCGCUCCGGCGGUAUCUGCUGCUGCUGGCGCAGGAGCACCUCGAGUUCCGCCUGCCGGAAAUAACAUCUUUGCUCUCGCUUUGUGGUGGACAAUUCAGCAGUGAGCAGGAAAUCCGCGUAAAUUCUCCAUUUUGGAUUCUCAGUAUUCCUUCAGAAGAGAUGGCAAGGGGACUAAUGAAACGGACAGUAUGUGCAAAGUCUAUAUUUGAACUGUGGGGUCAUGGAAGAUCUGCAGGGGAGCUCUAUGCAUCUUUGAAGAACUAUCCAAUGGACAAGAUGCUUCCAUAUCUACAGUCAGACUCCACUUACAAAGUGCAUAUUCAUACAUUUAAUAAAACACUGACCCAAGCACAGAAAAUAAAAAAGAUAGAUGCCCUUGAAUUUCUGCCAUUCAAAGGAAAAGUAAAUUUAAAGAAUCCAGAACACAUCUUCUGGAUUUUGGAAGAUUACGGAAUGGACCCUAAUAAUGUUCCAGAAGAGCCCUUUCAUCUGUAUUUUGGUAGAUGGAUUGCAGAUGGCCAAAGAGAACUAAUUGAGUCCUACAGUGUAAAAAAGAGACAUUUUAUUGGAAAUACGAGCAUGGAUGCCUGCCUCUCUUUCAUUAUGGCAAACCAUGGGAGAGUAAAGCCCAAUGAUGUUGUAUAUGAUCCAUUUGUUGGAACAGGUGGCCUUCUUAUCUCCUCAGCACACUUUGGAGCAUAUGUGUGUGGUACUGAUAUAGAUUACAACACAAUCCACGGAUUAGGCAAGGCAAGCAGAAAGAACCAGAAAUGGAGAGGGCCAGAUGAAAACAUCAGAGCUAAUCUCCGACAGUAUGGUUUAGAGAAAUACUACCUUGAUGCGCUAGUUUCUGAUUCUUCAAGACCAAUAUGGCGAAAAGGGAUGCUGUUUGAUGCAAUCAUUACAGAUCCACCGUAUGGUAUCAGAGAAGCUACUCGCAGAACAGGUUCACAAAAGGAAGCAGUUAAGACAGCUGAAAGAAGCACAGAAAAUCACAUCUUCGUUUCAUCCAAUUAUCAUCUAAGUGACAUCUUUUUUGACCUGUUGAAGUUUGCUGCAGAAUAUCUUGUGAUGGGAGGAAGAUUAGUUUACUGGCUGCCGAUAUACAGGCCUGAGUAUGUAUUCUUGAUUUCUGAUAUACAGAAGAGAUCGUUCCCCGCCACCCGUGCCUGAAACUUAUUAGCAACUGUGAGCAGAUGCUUUCCAGCCACACAUCAAGGCGCCUGAUAACCAUGGAAAAAGUGAAAGAAUUCAAGCAAUUACCAUCUGUAUUGGGCAGUCACGUCUGUACAGGGGAGAGGUAAGGAGUGGAAGCUCUGAAGCUGGAAUUACUGUGAUGGGGGCCAGGAGCUUCCUUUGUCAUCUCUUCCAAGAAAUGCGUGCCUGACUGCAGAUCUCCUCUUAUCUAGUGAGCAAUGAUUUGCAUAUCUUUUGAUGAGGCCUGGAUUUGCAAAAUGGAUUCUGCUGUGGAGUGAUGCACCAAGCCUGUUUCCAUUUGAUGAAUGCAGAUGCUCCUCUUACAGCUCUGUUUAACUUGAAGUUUGUUCUCUUACAUAUCAUAUCCUCUCUUUGCCCUAACCAGCUUGGGGGGUUGAAGGGGUAGUUCCUUUCUUCCUUCCUCCCUUCACCCUGAAUCAGCAUUUUGUUACUUAAGGAAUCAAGAUGAAUGGUGUACAGAUGUGUGACCUCUUAGAGGUUGUGGGGAUUAAUUUUUAUGUUAAAAUAAUGUUGACCCAGGUAUCAUUAUCUUUGAGGGUCAAAUAUCCCAUUCAGUUCUCAAAACAAGCAAAUUAUGUAGAAUUACAUUUAAAGCACACCCAAAAGGUUUCAAAAUAUAUUAUAUGUUUAGGUCAAAGAAGGAUUACUGACCUGCAAAUUCAGGGGAAGAAUAAGCGCUCUCUUCCUCACAGUGGCCCUGUAUAAGAGACCUGGAGAAGCGGGUAAAGGCUGGCUGUGGGAGGAGAGUUAUCUUAAGUCCUCCUUGUUUCCUAACUGCCAAUAGUAACUUUUUUUUUUUUCCCCACGGACAUGUUAAAAGCCUGUUGAUCGUCAGCCUGAGAAUGGUUUUAGAGAUGGCAGUCUCAUAGGUGACCAAAAGGCAAUAGAUAGUACUGUGUCUACAGUGGCUUUACUGAGGUCAUUUUCUGCUGCUGUUUUCCAGUAUUGCAGUAUUUAAAUAGAACUAAUUGGCUGCUACCGGUGUACAUGCUUUACAUGUUUGAUAUCUACAUGGCACUUAACACUUAGCAAGUUAAUUUGAGCCAGUGGCAUCCUGCUGCUAUCUGCUAGGUUAGCAGAUGAGAACUACAUCAUUGGAUUAUCUUCUUGUGUCCAGAAGAGGGCACUUGUACAUGCACACUAACCUCUUGCUAUGUUGAAAAACCUUUUGUUUCACUCCUUCAGAAUGCAUAUUAGGGUAUCCAAAGCAAGAUGAGGUGUUGAUCUUGCUAGGUGAAAGCCUGAACAGGCUACAAAAUAGCUGAAAGCGGGCGGGACUGUCCACUACAAUUCAGCUGAUUCUUACAUUGUAAUACUUUUGUAAUGGAUAGAAAUACUGACUUAAGUCUACUUCCAUGUCCCUAUUACUUACGCUAAAGCAUUCAACAGUAACCUCAUUUUCAAUUACAAACAAAUAACCCUGAACUGAAACUUAGCUAAUGAACCAAUCUGUAUGUUGCUGCAUUGAUGAAAAAAAUAUAGUAAUGAGGAUGCAUUGAGAAGAAGCAUUUAGUGGGAUAGAGGUUUAGUUCUGUCGUAUGCUUGUUUUUAUUUUCUCUUUGUACAGUUCAGUUGUUCUGUGUGGGGCUGUUUAUCUCAGUUCCAUCCUGCUAUUGAGCAUAAUAAACUGACAUCAACCAUAAGCGUGAAAUGGUUUUUAAAAGUUGCCAUCAGUUUUCUUUAGCGCUCAGAUGCAAGUUUGAUGUAUUGUUUAUCUGAGAGUAUUGAUAACUUUAGUUGACAGGUAUCUUAAUUGUAUAAAGCUGCAGUACACGGUGAACUAAACCUUUGUGUAUAUAAUGGGCCAAUUUUCUAGACUAUGUUCCUGGCUGAUGUCAGCUAGGUAUUAUGUGUAGGGAUUUACUGUGUCAACUUUUAACUUUCAGAAGUACCUGAAUACUGCACAAGAAAAAAAUCCUCCGAUAGCCUAAAAUGAGCAGGAACUCAUUUUAGUUAUUUGUGGCGGUCUCCGGUUUGUAUCUGCCUUCCACAAACCUAUAAGUGAUUAGUUUCCUGAAAAAAGACUGUCUGGAGAAUUCAAUCUUUGUAUUUUCCUUUAUAAAAGGCUGUGUGGCAUAGUACGUAUGCUCUCAUUUUUUCAUGCAAAGGUUGGAUUCUGGUGAUGUUAGCUGAGAUGUUUCCAGUGAUGCAGCACUGCUAAAACUUCAAGUGUCUGGUACUGACAACUUGCAUCAUUGCAAAAUGUACAGAGUAAAAUAAUGAAAAUUUGAAUGAGUAGGUAAAAAACAAAACAAAACAAAAAAAACCCAACAAAAACUCCUUGUCUGCUUACAGCUUGUAUUUGAUCAAUUUCAAAUGAGAAUCCAUUGCAUGUGGAUUUUCAGUUCUGUUAAAUAUUAAGACUUUGCAGUAGGAUGUAUGUGUUCUUGUUAAUCCUUAUGGAAACCUUAGCAUUCUAUUUCUGGAAUUCUUUAAUCAAUCUAAUGACUUAAAUGUUUGCCAUUGAAUUGGGAGGAAAAAAAAAAACAACCAAAAAACAACAAAACAACCACCGAUCAACCAGCUUUACUCUUGCUUGUAAUUGUCUGAAAAAAUCUGGAGGAAAACCAAUGGCAAGACACGCUCAACAUACUACCAUAAACCCUAAUGCUUGCAUUUUGACCCUAAUGCUUGCAUUUUGAUACCAUGCAGGAUCAAGAUCAGAAUUCUUACUUAUUGGACGGUCAAUAUACGCCAUACAGGGGACACAAUUCAUUCCGUGAGAAGUAUUUCAGUGGUGUGACAAAGAGGAUUGCCAAGGAAGAAAAGG